rnacentral:lncRNA from 1 species
CCUAACCCGGGACCAUAGAAUUUAGUGGAUUUAAGGGGAAACAUGCACUAAAUCGUUCAAAAUUUUGUGUAUAUGAGCAUUUUUCUAGAAAAAAAUAUCCCAUCACUAUUAUCAAGGGGACCACAACCUGAGGUGGCGGGGGGGGAACACUAAAACCCACCAACUUAUAUAGUAGAAAUAAAUAUUUUCUAAACCAAACAAACCCCAUGCCCCUUCCUCCUGAUAAAAGUGACCUCUCUCCACCCUGAAGGAGCUAGGGGAGUGAGCAACACUGUGCUUGGUAGUUCACCUGUAGAUCUUACUCUUACCUGCCUGUCUAAUGAUAGUCCACCUAUCUGAAGUUACAAAAGACUAAUUAAGCCAAACUAGGAACAUUCAACAGAGCUAGAAGAAAUGGCACGUGAAAAAUAAACAUCCAGUCCCCAAGACAUCCCAGCUCAAGUAGCCUGAGAAAUUUUUCAGGGAAGGCUGGAAAGGCUGGGAUCACUCAGGGAAGCAGAUGGGGUUUCUGAAGAUUAGGGAGAAAGAGCCUAUUACAUGGGCUGGGCCUGCAGGUGUAACAAGCACAGAUCAGAGACAGGGCAACAGAUUAAAGUGACAGAGAUGCUGGGAAGAACAGAUGGACUGGUCCAGGGCCAGGAAGACAAUGAAAGGCAAGAUGAAGACCAUAUCAUUGAGCAUCAUUGAGAUGAGGCUUGAACUUUUGUAUAGAAGAUGUCAGAAGAUUGGGCAGAUUCCAGUGGAGAAAGAGACCCUGUAACUAGGCUCUAAAGUAGAAGAAGACUGAGAAGCAGGUUUUAAAUGCAAAAAAAAAAAAAGAAGAAGAAGAAGAAACAAAAUGUCUGAUUACUAAGAAGAGAAACUGGCCAGCACAUGGAGGGUCAGGUAUUAAUUUUGAAGGCACAUGGUAGAUGAAUGGACUAGUCAGCAAGGGGCGGAUAAGACCCAGAUGCAGGUGUAGAUAAAUGGGGUGACUUGGGUCAAAGGAAAUGAAGGGAUCCUCCCUACCAUAUGCUUGUAGUCUGCCUGUGCAGAGGUCUUCCCUAGUAACUGGAUUAUUAAUGCAGAAUCAUUGCAAGUAUGUGUGGUAGUCCCAACAUCCAUCUCUGCCCACACCUCAUCUGUGCAACCUUUUUUCAAUUGAAUAGAAAGAUUAAAGAAAAAUAUUCAUUAUAGCACAAGAAAGUCAGAAAACAACCCAUAGAGCCCUGGUCAGUUCUGGAACAAGUUUUGCACCUUGAAUCUGAACAGCGUUCUUCUCCUUGAUUUGUUGUUGUUGUUGUAGCAGGAAAUUCUCAACAUCCUAGUGACCAGCAGUAAGUGGUUAAAUACAUUAUGGUUUGGCUAAAACUCUGCGUGAAAGAAUGGACUAAGCUGGGCAUGGUGGCGCAUGCUUGUAAACCCAGCUACUUGGGAGCCUGAGGCAGCAGGAUCACAAAGUCAAGGCCAACCUUGGCAACUUAAUAUGGUCCUGUCUCAAAAUGAAAGAUUAAAAAAAG